UGGGGAAUCUUAGACAAUGGGGGCAACCCUGAUCUAGCCAUGCCGCGUGAGUGAUGAAGGCCUUAGGGUUGUAAAGCUCUUUCAGCUGGAAGAUAAUGACGGUACCAGCAGAAGAAGCCCCGGCUAACUCCGUGCCAGCAGCCGCGGUAAUACGGAGGGGGCUAGCGUUGUUCGGAAUUACUGGGCGUAAAGCGCACGUAGGCGGACUGGAAAGUUGGGGGUGAAAUCCCGGGGCUCAACCUCGGAACUGCCUUCAAAACUAUCAGUCUGGAGUUCGAGAGAGGUGAGUGGAAUUCCGAGUGUAGAGGUGAAAUUCGUAGAUAUUCGGAGGAACACCAGUGGCGAAGGCGGCUCACUGGCUCGAUACUGACGCUGAGGUGCGAAAGCGUGGGGAGCAAACA
rnacentral:rRNA from 1 species